rnacentral:rRNA from 1 species
GACGAACGCUGGCGGCGUGCUUAACACAUGCAAGUCGAACGAAGAGCGAUGGAAGCUUGCUUCUAUCAAUUUUAGUGGCGCACGGGUGAGUAACGCGUAAUCAACCUGCCCUUCAGAGGGGGACAACAGUUGGAAACGACUGCUAAUACCGCAUACGAUCUAAUCUCGGCAUCGAGGAUAGAUGAAAGGUGGCCUCUACAUGUAAGCUAUCACUGAAGGUGGGUAUUGCGUCUGAUUAGCUAGCUGGGGGGGUAACGGCCCACCAAGGCGAUGAUCAGUAGCCGGGCUGGAGAGAUGAACGGCCAAAAUGGGACUGGAACACGGCCCAGGAUCCUAAGGGGAGCAGCAGGGGGGGAACUUCCGCAAUGGGCGGAAGGCUGGAGGAGGAAAGGCGGGGGGGGGGUGGAGGCCUUCGGGUUGGAAAGCUCUGUUAAUCGGGAAGAAAGGGCUUCUUGCGAAUAGUGAGAAGGAUUGACGGUACCGGAAUAGAAAGCCACGGCUAACUACGUG